rnacentral:tRNA from 1 species
GGAGAAGUGGCAGAGUGGUCUAUCGCGUCUGACUUGAAAUCAGAUGAACUUUAACAGGUUCCGUGAGUUCGAAUCUCACCUUCUCCU